rnacentral:rRNA from 1 species
AGAUAUCCCAUUCGUAAGAAGUAAGACCCCUUGGAGAGUACGAGGUUGAUAGGGCAGAGGUGGAAGUGCAGUAAUGUACGCAGCUGACUGUUACUAAUAGGUCGAGGGCUUAUCCAG